AAAAAUAAAAUUAACCAUUUCUGAAAAAACAUACGGCUAUAAACGUUUCUUAGAGUUUCUAAAAAUAGAGACUUCUCACUUCUCUCCUCUCUUUUCCACCAGUAUUAUUUAGUAAUAAGUAUCUCUACUAGAUACUACUCAUAAAGGUGCCCUUAGUUUGGUGAUUUUGGUGUUCAAAUUAUUAGACUCUUAGUUCAAACUUUUUCCGUUUAUAAAUAAGAAAAAUUCUUUCUAAUGCCCUUUUCAUAAUGCCUCUUUUCAACUCUACCCUUUUGUUUUAUCCAUUUUUAUUUCUACCCUCUUUAAAUUUUUAAUGACCAUUUUACCCUUAUUUAGAAAUUGUUUUAGGUUAACAAAAUGAAAUAUUAAUAUUUUUUCGCCUAAAAUAUUCCAAAAUAAAUUUCCCGCCAAAAUUUUCCCACCAAAAAUUUUCGAAAAAAAAUUUCCCGCCAAAUUUUGUUUUCAAAAAUAUUUUUCCCGCCAAAUUUUUUUUUUGGGCGGGAAAUAGAUUUACAAGGAAUUUUAAAAGAGUUUUAAAAGAUUUACAAGGGAUUUUAAAGGGGUUUUAUAAGAUUUACAAGGGAUUUUAAAAGGGUGAUUUACAAGGGAUUUUAAAAGGUUUUUAAAAGAUUUACAAGGGAUUUAAAAGAUUUACAAAGGUCUUUUAAAGAUUUUUAAAGGAUUUAAAAUUGUUUUAAAAUGAUUUUAAAAUAUUUAUAAGGGAUUUUAAAAGGGUUUUACAAUAUUUAAAAGGGAUUUUAAAGGGCUUUAAAAGAUUUACAAAGGAUUUGUAAAGAUUUUUAAAUGGUUUAAAAGUGUUUUGAAAGAUUUAUUAGGGAUUUUAAAAUCUUUUAAAAUUACUUGUAAAUUUUUUAAAACCCUUUUAAAAUCCUUUGUAAAUCUUUUUAAACUCUUUUAAAAUCUCUUGUAAAUCUUUUAAAACCUUUUUAAAAUCUCUUGUAAAUCUUUUAAAACCCUUUUAAAAUCCCUUGUAAAUCUAUUUGCCGCCAAAAAAAAUUUACAAGGAUUUUUAAAAUCAUUUUUU
rnacentral:sRNA from 1 species